CCUACGGGUGGCAGCAGUGAGGAAUCUUCCACAAUGGGCGAAAGCCUGAUGGAGCGACACCGCGUGAAGGAUGAAGCCUUUGUUGGUGUAAACUUCUUUUCUCUGGGAAGAUAAUGACGGUACCAGAGGAAUAAGGGGCGGCAAACUUCGUGCCAGCAGCCGCGGUAAUACGAAGGCCCCAAGCGUUAUCCGGAAUUACUGGGCGUAAAGCGUCUGUAGGUGGUUUGGAAAGUUUCAAGUGAAAGGUCGGGGCUCAACCCUGUACUUGCUUGGAAAACUAUCAAACUAGAGUGCGGGAGAGGCAAGCAGAAUGGUAAGAGUAGGGGUGCAAUCCGUUGAUACUUACCGGAAUACCAAAAGCGAAGGCAGCUUGCUGGAACGCUACUGACACUGAGAGACGAAAGCGUGGGGAGCAAAAGGGAUUAGAUACCCGUGUAGUC
rnacentral:rRNA from 1 species